rnacentral:lncRNA from 1 species
UAGGCUUAAUUUUUAUGCCCAUGGGAAGUAAUUUUUUUUUUUUGUAACCUUGAAUUCCAAGGUGGGACUGUGGCUCCCUCUUCCCUUGUCAGACCAAGGUGGUGCCAUACAUUUCCUGUCCACUCUGUCAAGGCUAUGGUGAGAGACAGCUGGUGGCUUCCUUGUUACUAUAAAGUUCCCGAACUCUUCAGAGUCUGACUGGUUGAAGUCUGUGUAUUUGGAGAGGCCGGCUGGAGCCCAACAGUACAGGAGGGCUUGACAGGGCUGUGACUGAGCCUAGGUAACGUGACCUGGCUCACCCUGUGAACACCUUGGAGAUGUCUGGAGCUCAGUGGAAUGUUCCCAAGUUCCUUGUGAGCGAGGAAGUCAGAAGAGCCGGCUCUGAAAAACACGGUCUCCCGUGCCCUCUCAUCCCAGCUCCUGGCAGACAGACCUCUGCUGCUUUGCAGCCAAGGCGAUUAGGUUUCUACUGCCUCUAACUCCCCACGCCAUGAAACACUACUGGCCAUCAGAGUCGGGGACAGCCGUGUUAGUGCGGGCCUGCCCACAGAUGCCUCUGGGACACCCUCGCCGGAGCAGCUGAGUCAGACUGCCUCCGGACCCGGUUGUACCUUUUCCAUUUCAGGGUGAGGGGCUGUCUGAUUUCUGUCUUGCUCCAUUCGCCAAAGGGCUGGAGUUGGCCC